rnacentral:snoRNA from 1 species
AACUGCAGUGUUCUUCCCCAUCUGAUUUAAACGCUGGUCUGAGUAGUUACAAAAGGAAGAAACAGAACUUGGAAAUGGACUUCAAUGCUUUUAUAGCACACGGGCUAGUUUGAAACAGUU